rnacentral:rRNA from 1 species
CACGUAGGGGGCGAGCGUUGUCCGGAUUUAUUGGGCGUAAAGAGCUCGUAGGCGGUUCGGCAAGUCGGGUGUGAAAUUUCGGAGCUUAACUCCGAAACUGCAUUCGAUACUGCGGUGCUCGAGGACUGGAGAGGAGACUGGAAUUCAUGGUGUAGCAGUGAAAUGCGUAGAGAUCAUGAGGAAGACCAGUGGCGAAGGCGGGUCUCUGGACAGUUCCUGACACUGAGGCACGAAGGCCAGGGGAGCAAACGGG